rnacentral:lncRNA from 1 species
CUUGUAACUAACCAGGCCCUGGGGGGGCAGCCCCGCCCCCUCACCGGUCUCAUCCUCCCCCGCUUAGUUCCCCACCUGGCCUGGGACUCUGGACACCCUGGGGCACUCAGCCCUGCCCUUCUUGAAGUUCUGGUGCCCCAUCUGGGACUCCGUAUGGCCCCAUUCCCACAACCCUAGAUCCAACACAUCCGGGGGACCCUUCACAACCUGGACUGCACUCCCCUAAACCUAUUUCUGUGAAGCAACUCAGCCCAGGGAGACUCGGAUGAAGAGGAAACCCCUAGUUAGCUUGGCAGGUGGAGGGCAGAGAGGCCUGUCUUUGUAAAUUCUCAGUCUUGAGAAGGAGCAGUGUGGAUGGAGUUUUUCCCUUCCUGCCUUAUAUGUUGAUGUGAUGAUUGAGUUAAAAUAGGCAAAGAGCUUAGAAGAGUGCCUGGCAGGUAGUGGGUUCCCUAAGUAUUAACUUUUACGAGGAUGACGUUUAUUCCGUAUCACAAGCAGUGCCGCAAGGAAAUCCUUGUUCUGCCCUGGUUUUCAGGAAGCCUUGGGAGCAGGUCCCCAAAAAGCCAAAGCGGAAGAAAAGGCGGCGACGCAACGUGAACUGCCUGAAGAACGUGGUGAUCUGGUACGAGGACCACAAGCACCGCUGCCCGUACGAGCCGCACCUGGCGGAGCUAGACCCCACUUUUGGCCUGUACACCACGGCCGUGUG